rnacentral:rRNA from 1 species
UAGCGGAGGAAAAGAAACCAACAGGGAUUGCCUCAGUAACGGCGAGUGAAGCGGCAAAAGCUCAAAUUUGAAAUCUAGCACUUUCAGUGUUCGAGUUGUAAUUUGAAGAAGGUAACUUUGGUUUUGGCUCUUGUCUAUGUUCCUUGGAACAGGACGUCACAGAGGGUGAGAAUCCCGUGCGAUGAGAUGCCCAAUUCCAUGUAAAGUGCUUUCGAAGAGUCGAGUUGUUUGGGAAUGCAGCUCUAAGUGGGUGGUAAAUUCCAUCUAAAGCUAAAUAUUGGCGAGAGACCGAUAGCGAACAAGUACAGUGAUGGAAAGAUGAAAAGAACUUUGAAAAGAGAGUGAAAAAGUACGUGAAAUUGUUGAAAGGGAAGGGCUUGAGAUCAGACUUGGUAUUUUGCGUUCCCUUCCUUUUUGGUUGGGUUCCUCGCAGUUUACUGGGCCAGCAUCGGUUUGGAUGGUAGGAUAAUGACCAUUGGAAUGUAGCUUUACUUCGGUGAAGUGUUAUAGACUUUGUUGAUACUGCCUAUCUAGACCGAGGACUGCGUCUUUGACUAGGAUGCUGGCGUAAUGAUCUUAAGCCGCCCGUCUUGA